rnacentral:rRNA from 1 species
UACGAAGGGGGCUAGCGUUGCUCGGAAUCACUGGGCGUAAAGGGUGCGUAGGCGGGUCUUUAAGUCAGGGGUGAAAGCCCAAGGCUCAACCUUGGAACUGCCUUUGAUACUGAGGAUCUUGAGUUCGGGAGAGGUGAGUGGAACUGCGAGUGUAGAGGUGAAAUUCGUAGAUAUUCGCAAGAACACCAGUGGCGAAGGCGGCUCACUGGCCCGAUACUGACGCUGAGGCACGAAAGCGUGGGGAGCAAACAGG